UAUUAUUAUAACUUUAUUUACAAUUAUUGGAAUUAUGUACCUCAUUUAUAUUAUGUGUAUUUAUAAAGAUAUUAAAAAAAAUAAAAUGGGAAGAUAUUAAUAUAAACAGAGAUAUUGUAUUGCUCUAUACUAAAGGUCCUGAAUCAUUUAUGGCAUUAAUGACAGAUUUUCGACAGACACUUAGUCAAGUUUGUCAAUGUAUUGUAUAUGAUUGGCAUAAUGGAAUAGAAUGGAAUAAUGUAGCUAAGAUUGGUGUUUUUGAUUGGUUUGCAAAAAUGCUUCAUAAUGAAUGCCAUAUUGUUUGGCAUAGAUAUUCUAAUAUUACGUUCGUUAAUUACACAAAGCCUUAACAAAAAUAAUAAUUCAGAACAAUAUAAUUUAAUAAAAAUUGGUGAUUUCCGUAACGCAAUACUUCCCACAAUUUUUAAUUUAUCUAAACGUAAUAUUGAACAAUAAAUCCAAACAUUUUAUUGUAAGAUUAAAAGAAUUUGAAAAUUUUGAAAAUGAUAAUGAUCCAUUUGCUGAUGUCUUCACAUAUACGAUAUGUUUUACCACAAGAUUAAACUUACUGUGUUCCAAUUUAUCAAAAAUGGAUAGAUAGUUAUUUAAAUAU